rnacentral:rRNA from 1 species
UUAAAAAUAACUCAAAAAGACAUGUUUUUGUUAAACAGGCGGGUAAAAUUUUUGCCGAGUUCUUUAUAUAAACUUAUCAUAUAAAAUUACAUAAACAAAAAAAUAUACUAAUUCUAUCAUUAUUCCUUUUUAUGUAUAAUUCAUAAAAAAAUUUUUAUAAAUAAAUUAAAAUAUAAUAAAUAAUAUAAUUUAUAAAAUAAUUUAUAACAAACUUUAUAAUGAUUGCUAAUUCUAAGCAUACAUUUUAUAUUACCACUAUUAAUUUUUAAUAAUUUAUUUUAAAGCUUAUCCCUUAAAAUAUUCAAAUAAAUAAAUUUUUCAAUUAAAUAAAUAACUAAAAAAUCAAAAAUUUGUAAAUUAAAUUUAUUUCUAAAAAAACUAGAUACCUUUAUAAACGAAUAACAUUUCAUUUCUAAUAGUUUAUUUAAAAUAAUUUUGACACAUUAACUUUAAUAAACUAUUAACUCUUAUAAAAUCGAGAUUAAUAAUAUAUAUAUUAAUUAUUUGAUAAACCCUGAUACACAAGGUACAAUAAAUUAAAUUUUCUUUUAACACAAAAAUUUUUCAAAAUAUUUCAAUUAUCUUUCACAAUACUAAUCCACUAUUAUUAAUAUUAUUUUUUCAUUAAAAAUUACUAAAACACUUAACUAUAUAAUUAUUUUUAAUAUAUUAAUUUAAAAGCAAAAUAAAAUAAUAAAUAAAUUUUG